ACACAUCUCUUCUCCUCCACACUAUCACUCUUCAACAACACACAUUUCUUUCCCUCUACACCAUAAUUAUUUUCUAUUAUCUCUCUAAUUUAAUCACUUUUACCAUAUUACCAUUUCCUUCUUCAUAGUCCACCAUCAUCAAACACAUCUCUUCUCCUCUAUAUCACCAUCUUCACAUUCUAAAACUUCCAUUUUCACUUGCAUCUCGAUCAGGCUAUCUCCGCUUUCUCCAUCCAGGUUCUUAUUCGUCCACCUCUUUUUUUAGUAUGAAUUAGUUUGUUAAAGUUUGUUUUUAUUUGCCUUUUAUAUUUCCAUAAUUAUUUUACUAUUUUUUAUUCUACAUUUUCAUUGAUAGCAAAAGCCCACUUGC
rnacentral:lncRNA from 1 species